rnacentral:rRNA from 1 species
AACGCCCGAUCGCCUUGAGUUUGAUCAUGGCUCAGGACGAACGCUGGCGGCGCGCUUAACACAUGCAAGUCGAGCGAGAACCAGUCCUUCGGGACUGGGGACAGCGGCGAACGGGUGAGUAACACGUGGGUAAUCUGCCCUCGGCACCGGAAUAGCCCGGGGAAACCCGGAUUAAUGUCGGAUGGCCUCUCGUGCUUUUGGGCGCGAGAGAAAAGGUAGCUUUGGCCUCCGGCCGAGGAUGAGCCCGCGGCCGAUUAGCUUGUUGGUGGGGUAACGGCUCACCAAGGCGACGAUCGGUAGCUGGUCUGAGAGGACGAUCAGCCACACUGGGACUGAGACACGGCCCAGACUCCUACGGGAGGCAGCAGUGGGGAAUCUUGCGCAAUGGGCGAAAGCCUGACGCAGCGACGCCGUGUGCGGGAAGAAGGCCUUCGGGUUGUAAACCGCUUUCAGGAGGGACGAAGCCACUCAGGUUAAUAGCCGAGAGGGUGACGGUACCUCCAGAAGAAGCCCCGGCUAACUACGUGCCAGCAGCCGCGGUAAUACGUAGGGGGCUAGCGUUGUCCGGAUUUAUUGGGCGUAAAGAGCGUGUAGGCGGCCAAGUAAGUCCGGUGUGAAAACUCGAGGCUUAACCUCGAGAUGUCAUCGGAAACUAUUUGGCUAGAGUCCGGAAGAGGAGAGUGGAAUUCCUGGUGUAGCGGCGAAAUGCGCAGAUAUCAGGAAGAACACCUAUGGCGAAAGCAGCUCUCUGGGACGGU